AAAAAAUAUGGUGAUAUCUAUGAAGAUGCCAAAAAUAUUGAGAAAAACAUUGAUGAACUAGAGCAAAAUUUGAUCAACAGUGAGGGGACAAGGACGCUGUUAAACAAAACUAAGGCUGAUGAUAUCCAAUACCUCAAGGUUCAAGACUCCAUUCUCAAACAGAAAGCGAGAGUGAAAUGGCUUAGUGAGGGUGAUCAAAAUACUACAUAUUUUCAUAGUUCCUUAAAAGAUAGGAGAAGGAGACUUCA
rnacentral:misc_RNA from 1 species